rnacentral:rRNA from 1 species
AUGCUGAAAAUGAAGCCCUCAAGGCCCCCUUCUUGGAAGAAGAAAUCAAAAAGGUUGUCUUUGAAUCAUACUCUGAUGGUGCCCCUGUCCCGGAUGGUAUCCCCUUCUUUUUUUUACCAGCACUUUUGGGAGUUGGUAAAAAAAGACCUGAUAGCCAUGUUUGAAGUUUUUCAUCAAGGAGAACUGGCUAUUCGUAGGCUUAACUUUGCUAUGCUGACUUUAAUCCCAAAGGAAGCUGAUGCUUCCAGUAUGAAAAAAUUUAGGCCUAUUAGUUUGCUAAAUUGUAGCUUCAAGAUCUUCACCAAGGUCCUCACAAACAGGCUAGCUAAGAUUCUGCAAAGGCUUAUAGCUAGUAACCAGUCAGCCUUCCUUAAAGGUAGGUAUAUAUUAGAAAGUGUGGUUACAACUCAUGAGAUUCUGCACUCCAUCCACUCUACCAAGAGGCAUGGCCUAGUGCUUAAACUAGACUAUGAAAAGGCUUUUGACAAGGUAGAUUUGGAUUUCCUUGAAGAGCUGCUUAGAAAAAGAGGGUUUGGUGAAAAAUGGGUCCAUUGGAUACUGCAAGUAACUAGAGGAGGAUCAGUGGGUGUUAAGCUAAACAACACUGAGAGUGACUUUUUCCUUACAGGGAAAGGUUUAAGGUAG